ACCAAAUUCUCAACGGUGGAUGUCUUGGUUCCCACAACGAUGAAGAACGCAGCGAAGUGCGAUAAGCAGUGCGAAUUGCAGAACCGUGAGUCAUCAGAUUUUUGAACGCAACUGGCGCCGUCUGGGGCAACCCAACGGCACGCCUGGUCCAGUGUCU
rnacentral:rRNA from 1 species